UACGAAGGGGGCUAGCGUUGUUCGGAUUUACUGGGCGUAAAGCGCACGUAGGCGGAUCGUUAAGUCGGGUGUGAAAGCCCCGGGCUCAACCUGGGAAUUGCAUUCGAGACUGAAUAGCUAGGGUACGGUAGAGGGAAGCGGAAUUUCCGGUGUAGCGGUGAAAUGCGUAGAUAUCGGAAGGAACAUCAGUGGCGAAAGCGGCUUCCUGGACCAGUACCGACGUUCAGGCACGAAAGCGUGGGGAGCAAACAGG
rnacentral:rRNA from 1 species